rnacentral:rRNA from 1 species
UACAGAGGGUGCAAGCGUUAAUCGGAAUUACUGGGCGUAAAGGGCGCGUAGGUGGAUAAGUGAGUGAGAUGUGAAAUACCCGAGCUUAACUUGGGGAGGUCAUCUCAUACUGCUUGUCUAGAGUAUGGGAGAGGGAAGUGGAAUUUCUGGUGUAGCGGUGAAAUGCGCAGAUAUCGGGAAGAACACCCGUGGCGAAGGCGGCUUUCUGGGACGGUACUGACGCUGAGACGCGAAAGCGUGGGGAGCGAACAGG